AUCUCACUCCUAUGGUGUAAUAUCGUGUGUAAGUCAUUUUCGAUUCCUAAUAAUGUUUUUAAUGAUCCUUGCCGAAUCUAGAAAGAACUAUUUGCUUUCAAACAACGGUUUCGAUUGAAGGCAACGCUGAUGCUCAUGGCAGUUUGAUUCGAUGUGAACGACUAUGCCGGCGUGAGGCAACGGCUGACAGUUUGUGGGCUGUCCCAACCCCUGUUUAACCGUGGGGGUAUAUGGUUAUGCACAGGUUCUUGAGUUUUUCCAUUUGAUAGACUGGACAAGGGAAACAGAUUAUGUAUGUGAUUUGCUUGGAUUAAAUGAGAGGGGCGACAUAUUUCCCUUAUUCAUAGGAGAACUCAAACUCACAAAGAGAUGGUCAAGGUACCAUAUAAUGUAGAUUUUUGGGGAAAGAGUUUAUCCUGAUUUUAUAUGACAAAUUUACACUAUUGAGGCACAAGAACAUCAGGCGCGU